ACUGACCUUCCAGUCACCACUGAGACUCCUCUUUUGCUUUUUUCUUUCUUCCAUCCAAUUUCAGACUACUGAAUGAAAGUAAGCUGAAAGCAGACACCUUCUAUUCUUCAGUUCAGACCCACCCCUUCUGUUAGGAUGCCGUUUCCCUGGACCUGCUGCCAAGGGAUGGAACCCACCUCACCUGGAAUAGAUCCUGAACUCCCCUAUGGAACCUUCUGGAAUAUCCCAGUUCACUGCUCAUUUACAAAUUGCCUCUGCAGAUGUCUGACCUCUGGCUUCCUCAUUUUAGAAAGUAGCGUUUUCUUGUGAUAGAAGAGAUGUUUCUGGAAGAGGGAAUGCACAUUCCCCCUACUCCAGGAAUUCCUCAGGACCUGUGGGGGUCCUUGACAUACUUGAUGGAAAAGAAUUUCAACAGUGGACGCUUAGAGAUUUAUUUAGGAAAGCAAGGAAUAUAUAUUCGAGGGAGAAUAUGAACUAUCUUGAGAGUGAAAGAUGAAUUUUGGGGGGAUUCCGACUCUUUUAAAGAAAACUUGGUAGGUAUGGGAAGACAUGUAAAGAUGACAUCAGGUUGGUUCUUAGGUUAACAUGGUCCUUAUUAUCUGAUCAAUGGAGAACACUGGAAAGUCCCCUAAAUUACAGAUUUCUUAAAAUAUUGCAUUUCUCUUUGCUUCAUCUAUUGACUGGUGGCCUAAUUAACAAUGAAGAACAUCAUUGUUGUAAGUGAGUGAAUUUACAGUAACACUAAGAUUUACAAAUUUUCCAGAGUUACAGGAGCAGCAGACCUGGGAGGGAGACUGGCUUGGGGAGUGACAGUCCUGAAAAAGUGGACACUGUCCUCCUUGGGGAGCUAGAUGGAGGUGGGGUCAAGGAACUAUCAACACCAUCCUGCUCAUCCUGCCCAUGAUGAUGGAAAAGGAAAGUCCAAGAAGAAGUUGGGUCUGAGCUGGAGUCUGCAAAAGGGAGCAGGAUGAUCACCCUAGGGAGCACCCAUUGCCCACAUAUGUGGGUAUAGAUGUGCUCCCACUGACAGCAGAAUUACAUUAAAAAUAUUCUUUUGAUUAUGAAGAAUAAGUCAAAAUGGCAAAACUUCAUGAUAACAGCCAGGUCUAUUUCUUAUACAAAGGAAAAAAAUAUUGAAGAUUUGCUGAAAAAGGAAAAGAAGGCAGCUUAAUGGGAACUACUUUACAAAAAUGUAAAUUACUCACCAGUGAUUACCAGGAUCAUGAGGACCUACUAACAUGACUGUCAUGUAAGGUGGAACAAAUUCAUCCUUGUAAAAAGGCAGAGACAGAAUUGAGGCUUCUUUUCCCUGACCUUCUCCCUGGUCUUCUUUUCCCUGAUUUUCUUCUGCCUGAUCUCUUCCCUCAUUUUCUCUGAAUCACCUCUAUAAAAACCCCCUGUUCCUGCUAGUGGGAAGAAUCACAGCCUUUGAGACAGGAGCCCCCUGUGUGUUUCUCCUUUGCUAGCAAAGCAAUAAACUUUUUCCUUUUUUCUCAAAACCAUGUCCUCGUUAUUGGAUUGGCAUCAGGAAAAAGGACCUAGCUUUCAGCAACAGAAUUAGGAUCCCACUUUAGCCCGACUCUUCCCCUUUAUAGCAAAAGGAGGAAACUGAAACCUAGGAAAUGGAAACCUUAGUCUGUAAUCAAACUGCAAGGCAGUGAAGGAGCAAGAGUAGAAGCCAAGUCUCUCCCUUCCCUGAUCUGACUCCAUCCACAGGUUCACUUCACCACAGGUGGGUGCACAUCGAAACCACCUUGGGAGCCUUGCAAAGGCAUGAGCUUGGCCUAAACCUGGCCCAUACACAGGUCUAGCAAAUCUGAAUCCUUGGCCUGGGACUACUGGCUCAUUCCAGACAGGCUGGAUCAGGCAGGAGAAAGCUCUAUAGAAGUUACUGAAGUUGAGAACUGAAGAAGUGGUAUAAUGCUCCCUUCCACCGCCCACCACAGGUCAUGUGAGAGGAGCCCCGGGGUGGCAGCACUAGGAGGGGAUUCUGCUUCGAAGCUUCAUGCCAAUCUAUCAUCAUGAACUCUCAAGCCAAGGUAGAUCCAGCACCUGGAAGUGACCUGGUUUUUGGAUGAAUGUCUAGAAGUUAUAUGUGUGAUAGACUCCUCUCCCUCAGAAAACAAUGGUGCACUGGAAAACCAGCAUGCAUCCAAGGCAAUGUGUAGUUAUGUUUCUAGAGUAAACUGUCCAAUGUCCACUUUGAUCCUGUCAACAGUUGCUUCUAGAUGAAGGCAGGGCACAUGCAUGGUCCCAGCUGACUCCCUUCUGCUGAACUAGGCUGUUUCUCAGUGGCACAGGCAAGGUACUAUAGACAGGAACUGCAUAUGAAGCAGGAUCUCCUUUAAAAUACACAGUAGUCAUCUUUUAUCCAUUGGGGAAGACAUUCCAGGAUCCAGUGGACCUCUGAAGGGUAACAAAUGCUCUAUAUAUUUGUGUUUUGUAUACUGUACAUAUAUACCUGUUAUGAAAUUUAUUAGUUAAGCACAAUAAAAAAUAAUAAAACAAUUUU